AGGACGAACGCUGGCGGCGUGCUUAACACAUGCAAGUCGAGCGGAAAGGCCACUUCGGUGGUACUCGAGCGGCGAACGGGUGAGUAACACGUGAGUAAUCUGCCCUCCACUUUGGGAUAGCCACCAGAAACGGUGAUUAAUACCGGAUAUGACUUGGGUCCGCAUGGGCUUGGGUGGAAAGUUUUUCGGUGGGGGAUGUGCUCGCGGCCUAUCAGCUUGAUGGUGGGUAAUGGCCUACCAUGGCUUCGGACGGGUAGCCGGCCUGAGAGGGUGACCGGCCACACGUGGGACUGGAGACGACCGGCCCAGACCUCCGUACGGGAGCAGCAGGUGGGAAUAGUGGACAAGUGGGCGGAAGCCUGAUCCAGCAACGCCGCGUGAGGGAUGGACGCCGUUCGGUUAGUAACCUCUUCGCCUGCGACGAAGCGAAAGUGACGGUAGACGAAGGUAAAGAAGACCGAACCGACCAACGUACGUCGACCGACGCGAACGGCCGUACGGUAA
rnacentral:rRNA from 1 species